rnacentral:rRNA from 1 species
UACGUAGGGAGCUAGCGUUGUCCGGAAUCAUUGGGCGUAAAGCGCGCGUAGGCGGCCCGGUAAGUCCGCUGUAAAAGUCAAAGGCUCAACCUUUGAAUGCCGGUGGAUACUGUCGGGCUAGAGUCCGGAAGAGGCGAGUGGAAUUCCUGGUGUAGCGGUGGAAUGCGCAGAUAUCAGGAGGAACACCAAUAGCGAAGGCAGCUCGCUGGGACGGUACUGACGCUGAGGCGCGAAGCGUGGGGAGCGAACAGGA